CUGAUCUGCUUUCUUCUCUUUGUACCAGGCUACGGAGCACCGUAUGGUUACAGCACCGCUGCCCCUGCCUAUGGUUUACCCAAGAGAAUGGUUCUGUUACCCGUUAUGAAAUUCCCAACAUAUCCUGUUCCCCACUACUCAUUCUUUUAGCAAAUGACAGAAGCUAAUUCCUAUUGAACAACAAAUACAGUACAAUACAGAAUGUUAGAGAAAAAGCCUUUUUAUCCUGCUUUCUUUGAACACAUACUUGAUCAAAAUUAUUUGUAAAGAACAUCUUUCCUACUUUUUGAUUUUAACAAAUGCAAAUUUAGUUCUCUAAAACUUGAAAACAAAAAAGAAACUAGUUCUGUGAAACGGUACCUCAUUUCCGGAAAAUAACUUAUACCAGCCCUUCUGUUCUAGGGAAAUAAGUCUAGCAGUUCAAAGUUUAAGUUUUAAGAGGAGUAUCAGAUUAUGUAAAAUUAAAUUUGUGAAGGAUGUAUAGAGUCUCAAACACUGAUCACAAAUAAACUGCUUUGUUGUAACACAGAGUACUGCCUGGUUCCUGACGCAGUCACUGAUUCUUAGCUCUGAUUGAUAUGUAUUUGCCCCAGGGCACUUGAAUUUGGGCUGUAGUUAUUUUUUUAAUACAGUACAAUAGAGACUUUUCAUUUAAACUUUAACUUUGUAAAUACUGAAGUGUGUAAUUAAAGCCAAUAAAAUAUGGGUUUGAA